rnacentral:rRNA from 1 species
GUCGAGCGGACAGAUGGGAGCUUGCUCCCUGAUGUUAGCGGCGGACGGGUGAGUAACACGUGGGUAACCUGCCUGUAAGACUGGGAUAACUCCGGGAAACCGGGGCUAAUACCGGAUGCUUGUUUGAACCGCAUGGUUCAAACAUAAAAGGUGGCUUCGGCUACCACUUACAGAUGGACCCGCGGCGCAUUAGCUAGUUGGUGAGGUAACGGCUCACCAAGGCAACGAUGCGUAGCCGACCUGAGAGGGUGAUCGGCCACACUGGGACUGAGACCCGCCCCAGACUCCUACGGGAGGCAGCAGUAGGGAAUCUUCCGCAAUGGACGAAAGUUCUGACGGAGCAACGCCGCGUGAGUGAUGAAGGUUUUCGGAUCGUAAAGUUCUGUUGUUAGGGAAGAACAAGUACCGUUCGAAUAGGGCGGUACCUUGACGGUACCUAACCAGAAAGCCACGGCUAACUACGUGCCAGCAGCCGCGGUAAUACGUAGGUGGCAAGCGUUGUCCGGAAUUAUUGGGCGUAAAGGGUUCGCAGGCCGGUUUCUUAAGUCUUGAUGUGAAAGCCCCUCGGCUCAACCGGGGAGGGUCAUUGGAAACUGGGAAACUUGAGUGCAGAAGAGGAGAGUGGAAUUCCCACGUGUAGCGGUGAAAUGCGUAGAGAUGUGGAGGAACACCAGUGGCGAAGGCGACUCUCUGGUCUGUAACUGACGCUGAGGAGCGAAAGCGUGGGGAGCGAACAGGAUUAGAUACGCUGGUAGUCCACGCCGUAAACGAUGAGUGCUAAGUGUUAGGGGGUUUCCGCCCCUUAGUGCUGCAGCUAACGCAUUAAGCACUCCGCUGGGAGUACGGUCGCAGACUGAACUCAAAGAAUUGACGG